UAUAGUGGCAGACGGGUGAGUAACGCGUGGAAACGUGCCUUUCACUACGGAAUAGCUUUUGGAAACGAAAGGUAAUACCGUAUACGCCCUCCGGGGGAAAGAUUUAUCGGUGAAAGAUCGGUCCGCGUUAGAUUAGCUAGUUGGUGAGGUAACGGCUCACCAAGGCUACGAUCUAUAGCUGGUCUGAGAGGAUGAUCAGCCACACUGGGACUGAGACACGGCCCAGACUCCUACGGGAGGCAGCAGUGGGGAAUAUUGCACAAUGGGCGCAAGCCUGAUGCAGCCAUGCCGCGUGAAUGAUGAAGGCCUUAGGGUUGUAAAAUUCUUUCGCCAGGGAUGAUAAUGACAGUACCUGGUAAAGAAGCCCCGGCUAACUUCGUGCCAGCAGCCGCGGUAAUACGAAGGGGGCUAGCGUUGUUCGGAAUUACUGGGCGUAAAGCGCACGUAGGCGGACUUUUAAGUCAGAUGUGAAAUCCCGAGGCUCAACCUCGGAACUGCAUUUGAAACUGGGAGUCUAGAAAUCAGGAGAGGUUAGCGGAAUACCGAGUGUAGAGGUGAAAUUCGUAGAUAUUCGGUGGAACACCAGUGGCGAAGGCGGCUAACUGGACUGAUACUGACGCUGAGGUGCGAAAGUGUGGGGAGCAAACAGGAUUAGAUACCCUGGUAGUCCACACCGUAAACGAUGAGUGCUAGUUGUCUGCAGGCAUGCCUGUAGGUGACGCAGCUAACGCAUUAAGCACUCCGCCUGGGGAGUACGGCCGCAAGGUUAAAACUCAAAGAAAUUGACGGGGGCCCGCACAAGCGGUGGAGCAUGUGGUUUAAUUCG
rnacentral:rRNA from 1 species